rnacentral:rRNA from 1 species
GCCAGCAGCCAUAUCACCCUGCAACUCACAACCAGCAGUCCACUGAAGCUCAGCAGGUGUGAGCCUGGUCAGUACCUGGAUUAGAGACCUCCUGGGAAAAACUAAGGGGGCUGCUGGAA